AGCCUCCACUCUCUCAAAGGCACUGAUCUAGGAUCUGUGGGGAUAAAGGAGAUGCUGGCCCCCAUCUGAUAUGAACAACGCCCUGGCUUCCAGGAGCUGGCUCUCCGUGGAGAGGGAAAGAGUGCUGGCACGCCUUCGGAACACUGCACGUGAAGCAUAGAGAAGAUGCUUAUAUAUGGUUCAAAACACAUAAAUCACUAAAAAUGGAAAAAGAGGACUGGGCCGCCUUAAGAUUCCUCAGAGCCUGAGAACUAAAUGUUGCUUUGCGUUGGGUUGACCUCUAAGGCAAUCAGAAUAAGACAUAAAAAGCUGUCUAUUGCUGCCAAGACUGAAACCAUUUUUCCAAAAUGGGUUUGCCGAGACAAAAGGAGAUGCUUCUGCGCCAAGGAGAGGAGAAGGAGAGUGAGUUGCACAGUCCCAAGGAACUGUUGCAUUUAUUCAGGUUUCUGCAGCAAUCCGGCCCUUUGCUGUGAUAGCAAAGCAUAAGGAACAGUCAAAAGGCAGAACCAGCAACACUCACCUUAUCAGGCCUCAGGAUGCUAUUUUUUCUAUAAACAACACGGUGCAAAGGUUCAGAGAGGGCAGAAGCCUGACCUGAGGCCGUAUUUCCACUACUCAUCAUUUUUGACAGUUACAAGAAACCAAGAAAAGGGAUUUUCUUGUCUAAUUAUUUCUAACCUUAAAGGUCAGGGAGUGAGUCCUUCUCGAGAUUAGGACGCACUGAACUCAUCCUGCGGAAAGGGCGCGGUGCAUGGUCUGCAAAGCCUGCCCCGGAACGUGGGCUCACUCGCUUUUCCCAUCUCAGAGGAAGGCACAGGGGAGGCGAGGAGCCCCCGGGGCGCUUCAUAUCACAUCGCCUCCCCUCCGCCGGGACUGGGUAGCAUCCACCCGGUGAUGGAACCGUCUGACCGCAGAGCACGAACUGAGCCCGAGGCUGAGCCCGGGCCGGGCGACCCCAGAGAGUUAUCAACAACCCUCAGCACUGCUGUCUGCAGUUCACGACGACUGAGUGGAGAGUGCAUUGCCCCAAAGAUAGCUGGGAGGAAUGCAGAGAGGUCUCCAGAAGCAUGUACUUCGCUGCACUUGAAACUUGAGGGAAAUAAUUCAGAAAUCUCCCAGAAGAGAGAAAUACUGUAUCUUCAAAUUUUACCUAUCACGAUGAUUCUUACAGGCUUUGAUUUCUCAACGAUGUUGCACGGAAAUCAGAUUCCUCCUGUUUAGAAAUUCGCGUGCCCCUGCUGAUUGUUUCCCGGCGGCAGCCCCUGCGAUGUGGCACGUGGACGCCCUGAGGAGAUGCCGCUGUCGCCCUGUUGGAGCAUCUGAUGUGGGCUCGGAAAUCUGCUCCCACGCAGGCAGCUGCACCUGAAUUUGCAGUUAUUUCCCAUUGUCCUCAGAAUACCUCUCCCUCUUUGGUGCCUGUGUAUCUCUGCACCUCCAGGUCCACGCAGAGGUGCAGAGAUACACAGAUACACACAGAUCUUUGCUGUAAGAUCUUGGGCAAGUCAGUUCACCUCUUUGUGCCUCAGCUGUCGUCUGGGAACGGGGAGAGGGCUGCACAGGGUGAACUCAAGAUCCCUGGCAACUCUUGCUUGUUAUUCAGUGACUCCACCAGUCCUUAAUAUUCCAAGAAGCGUUUUUCAGUGCUUUGUUGGAAAUUGUUGAGUCACACAGGAAUGGCAAUUAUUAGAUGAGGUUGGAGUAUAAUGCUAUCUCCUGAAAUCAGAUUGGACUGAGGGAUGCUGAUGAGGCAUGCAAUGAGGUGUGGGAUGGGAAAGCGGAAUCAGAGUGCAGAGAUGGCUUGCCCUUGGCCAACAGACAAGAUCAGGCAAAUUCCCCACGCUCAAUGAAUGGCCAGCUGCAAUCUGAAACUCGACCCUUCC
rnacentral:lncRNA from 1 species